ACACGUCGACCGCUAUCCAGCAUGCAUCUAGUGUAUUAAGUUCAAAAGAAUAGAGUAACGCCUUAAGCAAGAUGACAUGAUGUAGAUGGACAAUCUCAAAUUUAUGAUGAAAGCCCAUCUUGUUACCCUUGAUGGCAACAACAUGAUGCGUGCCUUGCAGCCCUUUCUGUCACUUGGAAAGGUCACCCCACGGUAUGAACCCAAAACCAAGCACUUCUCCCAUUGCAAGAAUCAUAGAUCUAGUUGGCCAAACAAAACCCAAGACUCGGAGAGACUUACGAGGAUAUCAAAUCAUGCAUAUAAGAAAUCAGCAAAGACUCAAAUAUAAUUCAUAGAUAAUCUGAUCACAAAUCCACAAUUCAUCGGAUCUCGACAAACACACCACCAAAG
rnacentral:lncRNA from 1 species